AUGUGUAUUUUGUCCGCAUAUGAGACAAUAAAACAUUUGUUCUUUUAUUGUAAAUUGGCUCGUUCUAUAUGGUCAGUCAUCCAGAUAGCUUCUGGCUUGUAUCCUUCGUGUAGUGUUGCUAAUAUAUUUGGCAACUGGUUACAUGGGAUUGAUCACAAGUUUAGAAUUCUUCUCAGGGUGGGAGCGCUUGCCGUGAUUUGGUCGCUUUGGCUAUGUAGAAAUGAUAAGGUUUUUAAUGAUAAAAGUACUUCCCUUAUGCAGGUUAUCUACAGAUGUACCGGGACGCUUCAUUUAUGGUCCCCUCUACAGCGAGUGGAGAAUCGAGACCUCUUUACGGAGGUGUGUACACGAUUGGAGGCUGCGGCGAGGGCUACUUUACCCAACAUGGGUGGCAGCAUGAUCUUAGGAUUGGGCCUCCUACCGUUUAGGUGUCAUACAUAUAUUCAUCUUUGUAUUUCGUCUUCUUAUUUUAUUUUGGCUUCCCGUGAGGACUUUGUUGGCUGUGUGCAUCUUAGUUAUGUAGAGGCCGGGUGCAAUACUUAA
rnacentral:rRNA from 1 species